UCUUGAGAAAAUGACGUUGACUUUGAGACCUACAGGAUGACCCGGAGUGUCCAGGAGAAAAAUAUUCAAGGCAUCUAAGUCCUUCACCUACAUGAAUGUGUUUAAUCCUUCCAGAAACUCUAUGAGGUAAGCACUAUUAUUAUUUUCAUUUUACAAAUGAAAAAACUGAGGCAGAGAAAUGUUAAUAAGUUGCUAAUAAACGGCCUAGGAAGGCUUUGGACUCCAGCGAUCUCGCUCCAGAGUUCGUACUCCUCAUCACAAAGGUCUACUGGGACUCGGGGCACUCUAGGCGGGAACAGAGGAGACCUGGAUGGCUGAAGGAUGGUGAGUAAUGCAAAAGGUGGCACAAGAGAAGCAGGAAAGAUAAUGCAUUUGGGACUCC
rnacentral:lncRNA from 1 species